GACGAACGCUGGCUGCGGGCUUAACACAUGCAAGUCGAACGGAAAGGCCCUGCUUUGGUGGGGUGCUCGAGUGUCGAACGUGUGAGUAACACGUGAGUAACCUGCCCUUGACUUUUGUAUAACUUCAUGAAACUGGGGCUAAUACCGGAUAGGAGCUCCUGCUGCAUUGUGGGGGUUGGAAAGUUUCGGCGGUUGGGGAGGGACUCGCGGCUUAUCAGCUUGUUGGUGGGGUAGUGGCUUACCAAGGCUUUGACGGGUAGCCGGCCUGAGAGGGUGACCGGCCACAGUGGGACUGAGAUACUGCCCAGACUCCUACGGGAGGCAGCAGUGGGGAAUAUUGCACAAUGGGCGGAAGCCUGAUGCAGCAACGCCGCGUGCGGGAUGACGGCCUUCGGGUUGUAAACCGCUUUCGCCUGUGACGAAGCGUGAGUGACGGUAAUGGGUAAAGAAGCACCGGCUAACUACGUG
rnacentral:rRNA from 1 species